rnacentral:lncRNA from 1 species
UCCAUUUAAACGCUCCGGCAAUGAAGACACGUGCUUCGGUAAUGCAAGGACUCGCUCCGACAGUACACUUUCUAGAGCCAUAGCGCUCUAGCGGUUGAAUAGGUCGCUCCGGCAAUGAGGACACAUGCUCCUGCAGUACAUCUUCUGGUGCCACAUCGCUUCGGCAAUAAAGACAAGAUCUCCGACAGUUGUACCACCUUCUUUUUUAAAGUUUU